rnacentral:rRNA from 1 species
CCUACGGGGGGCAGCAGUGAGGAAUAUUGGUCAAUGGGCGCGAGCCUGAACCAGCCAAGUCGCGUGAGGGAAGACGGUCCUAUGGAUUGUAAACCUCUUUUGUCGGGGAGCAAAAGACGCCACGCGUGGCGUUCCGAGAGUACCCGAAGAAAAAGCAGCGGCUAACUCCGUGCCAGCAGCCGCGGUAAUACGUAGGAUGCGAGCGUUAUCCGGAUUUAUUGGGUUUAAAGGGUGCGCAGGCGGAAGAUCAAGUCAGCGGUAAAAUUGAGAGGCUCAACCUCUUCGAGCCGUUGAAACUGGUUGUCUUGAGUGAGCGAGAGGUAUGCGGAAUGCGUGGUGUAGCGGUGAAAUGCAUAGAUAUCACGCAGAACCCCGAUUGCGAAGGCAGCAUACCGGCGCUCAACUGACGCUCAUGCACGAAAGUGUGGGUAUCGAACAGGAUUAGAUACCCGAGUAGUC